GAUGAAGAACGUAGCAAAAUGCGAUAAGUAAUGUGAAUUGCAGAAUUCAGUGAAUCAUCGAAUCUUUGAACGCACAUUGCGCCCGCUAGUAUUCCGGCGGGCAUGCCUGUUCGAGCGUCAUUUCAACCCUCAAGCCCCCGGGUUUGGUGUUGGGGAUCGGCUCUGCCCUUCUGGGCGGUGCCGCCCCCGAAAUACAUUGGCGGUCUCGCUGCAGCCUCCAUUGCGUAGUAGCUAACACCUCGCAACUGGAACGCGGCGCGGCCAUGCCGUAAAACCCCAACUUCUGAAUGUUGACCUCGGAUCAGGUAGGAAUACCCGCUGAACUUAAGCAUAUCAAUAAGCGGAGGA
rnacentral:misc_RNA from 1 species